rnacentral:rRNA from 1 species
GAUGAACGCUGGCGGCGUGCCUAAUACAUGCAAGUCGAGCGAACAGACGAGGAGCUUGCUCCUCUGACGUUAGCGGCGGACGGGUGAGUAACACGUGGAUAACCUACCUAUAAGACUGGGAUAACUUCGGGAAACCGGAGCUAAUACCGGAUAAUAUAUUGAACCGCAUGGUUCAAUAGUGAAAGACGGUUUUGCUGUCACUUAUAGAUGGAUCCGCGCCGCAUUAGCUAGUUGGUAAGGUAACGGCUUACCAAGGCGACGAUGCGUAGCCGACCUGAGAGGGUGAUCGGCCACGCGGGAACUGAGACACGGUCCAGACUCCUACGGGAGGCAGCAGUAGGGAAUCUUCCGCAAUGGGCGAAAGCCUGACGGAGCAACGCCGCGUGAGUGAUGAAGGUCUUCGGAUCGUAAAACUCUGUUAUUAGGGAAGAACAAAUGUGUAAGUAACUAUGCACGUCUUGACGGUACCUAAUCAGAAAGCCACGGCUAACUACGUG